UACGUAGGUGGCAAGCGUUGUCCGGAUUUACUGGGCGUAAAGAGCGCGCAGGCGGUCGUUCAAGUCGCGUGUGAAAGCCCCCGGCUCAACUGGGGAGGGUCACGCGAUACUGAUCGACUCGAAGGCAGGAGAGGGUAGUGGAAUUCCCGGUGUAGUGGUGAAAUGCGUAGAUAUCGGGAGGAACACCAGUGGCGAAGGCGACUACCUGGCCUGUUCUUGACGCUGAGGCGCGAAAGCUAGGGAGCAAC
rnacentral:rRNA from 1 species